UCUUCUGUGUAUGUGUGUGUGUUCGAACACUUCGGCGUGUACAUAUGACGUUUUUUUUUUUCUCAAAAGAAAUGAUUAGAUUUUUUAGAUUUUUUAUAUUUUGCUAUCCGCCGCCGAUCGCGUAUAUGUAACAUCGAAUUUCAAUUAAAAUGAGAAAAUACUGUGUAUUAACAAAUGCUUUUGUCUUCAGUGUCUGUCUGUCAAUCAUUCUCCCAACAGCCCAUUGGAUUGUGGUGUUUGUGAUGUAAAUUCAAUACAUUUAGGUAUUCUGAGAAGUUUAAUUAGGCUCCAUCGAAAGACAAAAUUCCAUUGCUCAACUGCUUAAGUGAGUGUGGUCAGCAUAAAUAGUAUUUGUAACAGCAGUUUCUAACUGUGCUGAAUCUUGUUGCAUGAGAGGCGAUAGAGGUCCAGUCUUUCUUCCACCUUCAUACUCGUAUUCGUAGUGAAUGUCUAGCGACACACCUAAGUCAAUCCAAAACGGCCGAAACCAACGAGAUGACAUAAAAAAGAAGAGAGAAAGAGAGAAAAACAUAGAUAAAUGGCAAUUUUUAGUUGAACAAACAUCAAAAAUGAAUUUGAUAAAUAAGUAGAAAAUUCACAAAGAUUUAUUUACAGCGGUUUCAUAGAGGUCUGCAGGUGCGCAGUACAUGAAAAGUACCGUUAUAAGCACGGGUUGUGCGAGCAAGCAAAAUCAUUUGCCGACAACGGAGAGAGUGAAAAAGAGAGUUUUUGAUUGUUGGUUUAUUACAGUUUAAGUUUUUGUUUUGUUUUUGGAAUUUGUGUGCCAAGAGUUUGUGUAUGUGGUGAUAUGUUCCACUUCCACUUUACACUUUGUUUUGAUUUUAUUUUAUUUGUUUUCUUUUUUUUUGGUCAAAAGAAGCAUUGAGGGUGCCAUUUUAUUUUUGUUAAACGGUAGUUUUGCCCAUGCAGUCCUCUAGCGAUUAUUUGGUUCUAAUAAUGGUGCUAUAAAAAAAUCAAUUGUCAAUUAAUUUAUCGUUGUCUAUUUCCAUUUGGUUAUUGAAUAGUAUAAGAUAUUUCUUCCAGUUGAAAUUAUAUUUGAAUUGAACAGGGAGCAGAUAAAGAAAAAAAACAAUUAAAUCAUUUGAAAUGUAGAGCAAUAAGGCAAAAUAAAAACAAAUCAUUUGAUUUAAAAUUAAUCGGAGCAGAAAUAUUGAACGGAACCAACAAAUCAAAAACUAAAGAAAAAUCAUUUCAACGUGGUCGGUCAAUUUUUAAUCGAAACCAUAAUAUACUGUUUACAAAAGAAUUUUACUAAAAACUAAUUAUAAAACGAAACAAAAACUAAAUAAUAAA